UAACGAAUAUUCCGCAAUGGGCGAAAGCCUGACGGAGCGACGCCGCGUGAAGGACGAAUUCCUUCGGGAUGUAAACUUCUUUUGGGGUGAAGAAAACAAGGAGCGCUAAUACCGCUUUGCGUUGAUCGAUCCCCGAAUAAGCCUGGGCUAAUUCCGUGCCAGCAGCCGCGGUAAGACGGAACAGGCAAGCGUUGUUCGGAAUCACUGGGCUUAAAGCGCGUGUAGGCGGCUCGGUAAGUACUUUGUGAAAUCCCCCGUCUCAACCGGGGCACUGCUUGGUAUACUGCCGGGCUUGAGGUAGGUAGGGGUGCCUGGAACUCUAGGUGGAGCGGUGAAAUGCGUAGAUAUCUAGAGGAACGCCUGUGGCGAAAGCGGGGCACUGGGCCGAUUCUGACGCUGAGACGCGAAAGCGUGGGGAGCAAACA
rnacentral:rRNA from 1 species